rnacentral:lncRNA from 10 species
UCCAAUCCCCUGGGCAGAAGUAAUAUCUUCUCUGAAGUCUGAGGCAGCACUUUGUCAGGGGAAGCACAAAUGCUACUUGUGGAGGACAGAGUUAUUUUGUUCUUUACUCUGAGUUUGCACUCUAUGAAAACUCUGUGUUAACAUCAUUGGCAGAGAAAUUCAAUUUCCUCCCUCUGAGUGGGAAGGAACUUCUCUUGGAAGGAGUUUUCUUGCUUUAUUUCCUACAAUUAGAGCCUCUUUUCUACUUGACUUAAGGGUUUUUUGUUUUGUUUUGUUUUUCUAAACAUUCAAUUUCCUGGAAGUUCUAGGGAUACAGUGGUGAACAAGAAGAAUAAGACCUCUGCCCUCAUUGAGCUUAUACACUAGUAAUUUUAAGGGUGCUUUCUCUCUUUCUCUGGGGUGCAUUUCACUUAAAUUUAAGCAAAAACUAUGGGAGAAGUUUUAUAAACAGUUCCUAGAUUGAAAUUUUAAAUUAAAAAGCCAAUGUUUGUUUGAAAGGUGCACUAGGAAAAGAAAGUUCCAAAUAUAUUCCAUAGGUAAUUUUUGAAUAUGGCAAAUAUUACAUUUUAAAAUUAGUCAGGGUGAGAAAUGUAACUGCUUUAUAUAGAAUAUAUAAAGGUAUCUGUUUACCUUUUAGCUGUAUUUUCUUGUUAGAUAAGCCAGGGAGCAAAGUACAUAGAGGAUCAUGAAUGGUUUGCAGUGAUUCAAUACAGCUUGUUCAACAGAGACAUUCACAUGACCAAUUUUAUCAAUACAUAAAUAUAAUACCUGAGCAAGCUUAAAAUAUGCUGCUAAGGAAAAGUAGUGACAUUGUCAGGGCUAGAGGAUGCAAGAAAAAUACAAGCACAAAAUAAUAAAAAACUGUUAAAGUUGGAUACCAACUCAGAGUUCUAAUCUACCUGUCCUAUUGCAGAAGUUACUUCAACAGCUUCUACUUCACUGACAAAGAAUAUUCUAGAUCCUGCUUGGCACAGCUAUUGAGAGAAUAAAAUGUUGUGGCUGGGGGAGGGGUCUUAUGUGUGCUGCUGCCCAAGGUCCUGAAAGUUGCUUUUGCUAUAAUAUGUUUUGUUCUAGUAGUCCUGGGAUAAAGGUGGCUCCUGUUCAAUCUUGUUUCAGUAAUCUUGAACCAAGUGGGAAAAGGGGAGUGUUAGGAGAGACAACGGGAAAGGGAGAAGAAAAGAGAGAAUAAAGGGAAGGAGGACGGGACAUAGCCUUUAAAGAAUGUCAGAAAAAAAUAGUCCUUGAUUUCUCAAUCAUGUUCAAAUAAUAGCAGUAACCGACAAAGAAAAUGUCUUUUAUUUUUGAUAUAGUGGAUGUGUUGGUUUGUUCAGGCUGUAUAACAAAAUACCAUAGACUUGGUGGCUUAUUUACAGCAGAGCUUUUUUUUCUCACAUUUCUGGAACCUGUGUCUGGAACCUGGGAAGUCCAACUUCAAAGCACUGACACAUUUGGUGUCUGAUGAUGUCCGGCUUUCUCAUAGACGGCUACCUUCUUCUCACUGUUACCUCAUAUGGUGGAAGAGAAAGUAUCAUCUGCCAGGAUUCUCAGUCCUGGACAGCAAGCAGUUAACCCUGGGGAAGGGAGAAAGGAGAAGACAAUGGAGGAAUGGUCUUCAUUUCCAGGGGCAUCUGCUUCCCAAAAUGAAACAUUUGGAAGUUUUUUGAGGGCUCAAGAAGGGAGCUCUAAAAUGCAACAUGUGAAGUGAGGUUAUUUAAAUUCUGAUCUAACUGUGUGGCCUAUCUUCAUGCCUGCAUUAAAAUUGUUCAGACUUUGACCAUCC